rnacentral:rRNA from 1 species
AACGAACGCUGGCGGCAGGCCUAACACAUGCAAGUCGAGCGCCCCGCAAGGGGAGCGGCGGACGGGUGAGUAACGCGUGGGAACGUACCCUUUGCUACGGAAUAGCCUCGGGAAACUGGGGGUAAUACCGUAUGUGCCCUUCGGGGGAAAGAUUUAUCGGCAAAGGAUCGGCCCGCGUUGGAUUAGGUAGUUGGUGGGGUAAUGGCCUACCAAGCCGACGAUCCAUAGCUGGUUUGAGAGGAUGAUCAGCCACACUGGGACUGAGACACGGCCCAGACUCCUACGGGAGGCAGCAGUGGGGAAUCUUAGACAAUGGGCGCAAGCCUGAUCUAGCCAUGCCGCGUGAGCGAUGAAGGCCUUAGGGUUGUAAAGCUCUUUCAGUGGGGAAGAUAAUGACUGUACCCACAGAAGAAGCCCCGGCUAACUCCGUG